rnacentral:lncRNA from 1 species
GGUCUCUGGGCUGGUUGAGCUGCGCCGCUGCAGGUAGUGCUGAGUUGCUCCAGGUAAGCUCCUCCUCUCAAAAAGCUCUAGGAACCGAGCCACCCUCGCCCUAGGAGCAACGCCCCUGAGUAAUAUGGGGUUUCGUCGGAUUUCUGCCCGCCGCUCUGGAUCACACGUUUGUUCUCCCUAUUUGAGUCGCAAGGCCUUCCUUCAUUCCACCUAGCAGGCUGCUUGGAAAAGGGCAGAGACUCAUUACUUUGCACCAGUGCCACUGGGUUAGGGUCUCCACAACCGAGCUGGUCUCAGCAAGUGGUGUCCAUACAUGGGGCUCGAACCUGGGUUGAAGGGUCGCCAGAGCGACGGUUGGAGAACGUGGAACUAAGCUGGAGGACACCUGAGUACUCUUAAGCAAUCCCCGUGGACCAAAUCAACUGCCAAUUUGGAUAUCAUCGAGGCACCUGAAACCUUAUCAUGAGCCUGAUGCUGAGGAAUAGAUUCUGGGAGGAUCCCGAGGAUCCCCUGGUUGCAGCCAUGUUGAGACUGACGCUGAGGGGGACCCCAACUGUCACGAGCAACACCCAUCGAACGCAGCCACCUACCUGGGGACAGAUCAAGAAGCUGUCACAGAUGGCAGAAGAAAACCUAAGGAAAGUGGGACAACCAGUCACAAUGAGUAAUUUAAUGAUAGCUAUGAUAGUGGUGAUCACCAUUGCCAUGAGUAUUCCUUCAACAAGGGCUGGCACAGAGGACAAUUAUACUUAUUGGGCGUAUUUAUCAAUCUUGGCUGGCAAUAAUGCCUGGAUGUAAUCACUCUAUGACACAGUUACACAUGCUUUCUGGUCUCCGUAUUUACCAUAAUAAAUCUGCUCCUGUAAUUGAGGUAUACUGCCCUCAAAAACCUAUUUGUAAACAGAAUUGGACCUGGCUAGAAAUAAUGAAUGUAUUUGUUUGGGAAGAUUGCAUUGCAAAACAGGCAGAGGUGCUGUGCAACAAUUCCCGUGGAAUCAUUAUUGAUUGGUCCCCUAAGGGGAUGUUUAGCUUGAAUUGCACCUGUCAGUCUGUGUGCCACAGCCACACUAUGUUCAGCUGGUCUGAACAAAAUGGUCAAAUGGUAGAAAUGGUAAGAAGUAUGGCAAGAGUUCCUAUUAUUUGAAAACAUGGUGGUAUAGUGGCACCUCAACCUCAAAUGAUAUGGCCCGCUCUAGGAGCUUAACAUAAGGAUUUGUGGAAACUAUUAAUGGCUCUUAAUAAGAUCAAAAUUUGGGAGAGAGUAAAAAAGCAUCUAGAAGGACACUCUACAAACUUGUCUUUGGAUAUUGCAAAAUUAAAAGAACAAAUAUUUAAAGCAUCCCAGGCACACCUGACCUUAAUGCCAGAAAUAGGAGUGCUUGAAGGAGUGUAGACAGAUUAGCAGGUAGUAACCCAUUAAAAUAGAUAAAAACACUUGGAAGCUCUGUGAUUUCAAUGAUGAUGGUGCUUUUAAUCUGUGUUGUUUGUCUUUGUAUAGUCUGCAGCUCCCGACUCCUGCAAGAAGUAGCUCACCAUGAUAAAGCCACCUUUGCAUUUAUCAUCUUGCAAAAACAAAAAGGGGGAACAUGUUGGGAACAGGCCCCCAAAUCUGGCCAUAAACUGGCCCCAAAACUGACCAUAAACAAAAUCUCUGCAGCACUGUGACAUGUUCGUGAUGGCUAUGACACCCACCCUGAAGGUUGUGGGUUUACUGUAAUGAGGGCAAGGAACACCUGGCCCACCCAGGGCAGAAAACUGCUUAAGGCGUUCCUAAGCCACAGACAAUAGCAUGAGUGAUCUAUGCAUUAAGGACAUGUUCCUGCUGCAGAUAACUAGCCCAACCCAUCCUUUUGUUUUGGCCCAUCCCUUUGUUUCCUGUAAGGAAUGCUUUUAGUUAAUCUGUAAUCUAUAGAAACAAUGGUUAUCACUGGCUUGCUGUCAGUAAAUAUGUGGGUUAAACUCUGUUUGGGGCUCUCAGAUCUGAAGGCUGUCAGCCCCCUGGAUUUCCCACUCCACACUCUAUAGUUCUGUGUGUGUGUGUGUGUGUGUGUGUGUGUGUGUGUUUCUUUAAUUCCUCUAGUGCUGCUGGGUUAGGGUCUCCACGACUGAGCUAGUCUCAGCAGUAUAAAAAUCAGAAUAUUAAUUUGGCAACAUUUGGUAAUAUCAAUGCAGAAUAUUUAUCAGAAAUCAAAUGUUAUCACCAAAAAUCUACUCUACUUUGUUAUCCAGGAGAUGCAAUACAAAACCCAUUAAUUAAAACAUUAACAGAUACUAUUAAAAUACUUUGGGAUAAGGUCAGAAAUGCUAAAUGUUACUUAUUAUUUUAGACACAUUACCUGAUGCGAGGCAUAUAGUGCAGAUGAUUAUGGUUAGAGUUGUGAUUUUCUAAACUCAAAUACUUCUAUAUGUGAACAUUUUUGGGAGAUUUUUGUCACAACUGGAGAAAGAUUAUUUUUAAAUUUUAGUAAACUACUUACAAAAACUGAACCAGACAAAAAUAAUUCAAGAAGCUAGAAAUAUGACAACAUGGUGCAAUAGGAAAUCCUUGAAUAAAAAAUAUAUAUAUGUAUAUAUACACCAUAAAAUAUAGAAUGGUAUAUUCUGUAUCAUUCUAUAUUCCUUUUCUAAAGCAUCAUUAUUAUUAUUUGAGAUGAGGGGGAGAUCUAACCAUGUUGCCUGGGCUGGUCUUGAACCCCUGUCCUCAAGCAAUCUUCCUUCCUCAGCCUCCUGAGUAGUUGGGAUUACAGACACAUACCACUAUGCCCACCUUAAAGCUUGCUUGCUUGC